GAUGAACGCUGGCGGCGUGCUUAACACAUGCAAGUCGAACGGAAAGGCCAGUGCUUGCACUGGUACUCGAGUGGCGAACGGGUGAGUAACACGUGGGUGAUCUGCCCUGCACUUCGGGAUAAGCCUGGGAAACUGGGUCUAAUACCGGAUAGGACAAUGGUUUGGAUGCCGUUGUGGAAAGUUUUUUCGGUGUGGGAUGAGCUCGCGGCCUAUCAGCUUGUUGGUGGGGUAAUGGCCUACCAAGGCGUCGACGGGUAGCCGGCCUGAGAGGGUGUACGGCCACAUUGGGCCUGGGAUACGGCCCAGACUCCUACGGGUGGCAGCAGUGGGGAAUAUUGCACAAUGGGCGCCAGCCUGAUGCAGCGACGCCGCGUGGGGGAUGACGGCCUUCGGGUUGUAAACUCCUUUCGCUAGGGACGAAGCGUAUUUGUGACGGUACCUGGAGAAGAAGCACCGGCUAACUACGUG
rnacentral:rRNA from 1 species